rnacentral:tRNA from 1 species
UCCGGAAUAGCUUAACGGUAGAGCGAUCGUAUAAACCCAUACGAGAGAUCAGAGGUUCGAUUCCCGUUUCCGGCU